rnacentral:lncRNA from 1 species
AUGGGAUGCCCAGCAGAAAGGGGAACUAAUAUUGAUAUAUAUAUAUAUUUUUAAUGCCAGGCACUCUAGAGACUUUAUCUGAUUUAAUCCUCAUGAUAGUAUCAUGAAGUAGUUAUGGCUAUGCCCAUUGUACAGAUGCAAUUGACUGAGGUUACACAAGUGAUGAAUUAAAGAGCCCAGGACUCUGACCCAGAAUUUGUCUGACAGGAAGGUUUCUCUCAAAAGGGAGACAUAAUCUUGAGGCAGCUGUUUCCUCUCUGAAGACUGAAUACUGCUGUCGAAGCGUUUCACAGAAAAGAAAGCGAAAGAGAAUCUCGGGACAAACUUUUUGAGCGGAGCGGGCUGGCAGUGGGGGCAGAAGAGCAGAGCUGAGGAUGGCGGCGCACAGCCCGCCGCUGCUGGUCUGAGAGUCCUGGUGCCCUGGGGCCCCGACCCCCCCCCCCCCCCGAGGAACUUGGGCACCAAGCGGCAGGUGUACUUCCAGAGCGCGAGGAGAUCGAAGAGAUCCGGAGGCUGGGAGCGUGAGGUCCGCCCGGAGCCGGGCAGCCCAACCCGCUUCCUGGCGUUCUUUCUCCAGGAGGAUGUCAGAAGACCUCAGUACAAAAGUAAUAUUUUUCAGAAGAGUGGAUAAAAUAGAUGACAUGGAAGUGGAUGAAAUAGAUGAAUUUUUGAAAGAUCCUUCACAAGCCUCCCUUUUGGUGCAUUUCACAAUAUCCAAGACACUAUGACUGAGAAUGUGCUGUCCUUGUUUGUGGAAUCAAUUAGCGGCCUGUCAGAAGCCAAUGGCAACUUCAGGGUGGAAGUAAUACCCAAUAUUAAAAUUGCUGGCUUCAUUUUUCUCAAAAAUAUUGGUAAGACGGACAAUAGUUUUUAAUCCUUCAUUUGCAAAUUGUAGUUGUAUCUUAUUUUGAGAUUCCAGGUAUCCCUCAAUGGGUCUUCUUUAAAAGUUGUGCUCUUUCUAACUCCCAGUAAGAGAAUCGUGUGGGAAUCUAUGUAUUAUUACUCCUGGUGCUGCUAAUAACUAACAUUUAUCAAGUGCUUGCUCUCUGUCAAGUAUUCUGCUAAGUUUUUACUUACUUUGUGUCUUAACAUAUAGCACCAUGACAUAGGCACUAUUAUUAUCUCCCAUUUUACAAAUGAAUAAAUCUGGGCUUAGAGAGGAUUAAAUUACUUGC